AAGCAAUGAAUUUUCCUCUUAGAACUGCUUUCAAAGUGUCCCAUAGAUUCCGAUAUGUUGUGUCUGUGUUUUCAUUUAUCUCUAAGAAUUUUUUAAUUUCCUCCUUGAUGUCUUCUAUAACCCAUUGAUUAUUCAGUAACCUAUUUUUCAUUCUCCAAGUGAUGCAUGAUUUUUCCUUCCUUCUUUUAUCAUUGAUUUUCAGUUUCAUUCCAUUAUGAUCAGAUAAGAUGCAUGGUAUUAUCUCUACUCCUUUAUAUUGUCUAAGAGUUGCCCUGUGACAUAAUAUAUGAUCUAUUUUUGAGAAGGAUCCAUGUGCUGCUGAGAAAAAAGUGUAACUGCUUGAUGUUGGGUGGUAUAUUCUAUAUAUGUCAAUUAAGUCUAGGUUAUUAAUUGUGUUAUUGAGUUCUAUAGUUUCCUUAUUCAACUUUUGUUUGGAAGAUCUGUCCAGUGGUGAGAGAGGUGUGUUGAAGUCUCCCAUGAUUAUUGUAUGGUGGUCUAUUAGACUCUUGAACUUGAGAAGAGUUUUUUUGAUGAACAUAGCUGCACCAUUGUUUGUCUCUAAAUUCCCGCCAUGCACUAAGGCACCAGAACUAUUACCGACCCCCCUCCAAGGAAACAGCAACAUGAUAGGAAAAUAAUAUUGUCAAAAUUGUAUAAUUCUGUUGUUAACCAUUGUUUUGUCCUCAACUGUUAACUGAUAAAUGUUACUUCCACAAAAUAUGUGAAUUUUCUGCUUCUGAGAGGCAAUGUGAAAGAGGAAGUAUUACUUUUAUGUACAAAGUUAUUUAUUUAUAGAAAUUUUGGUACUAUGUACAUUGAAAACAUGUAAAAUAUUGAAGUGUCUAACAAAAGGCAUUGAAGUGUCUUUAAUAAAGAUUCAUUUAUAAGUGUUGAGCGUAUGGCAGGAAUGAAAGUUGGGAUAUAUGGUGUCCUUAGGGAGACAACAAAUGGCCUCUUUUGGCUAGAAAAAAUAUGUGCAAAGCAGGUUUGCAGGUUAGAACCAUGCAGCUUAUUCAGCAAAUAUUUAUUAAGCAUUUGCUAGACACUUAAGCAUAGGAUACCAUGGUAAGCAUGAUAGGAAAGUUCUCUUACAGAACCUGUUAGUCUAUUAGAGCAGGGAUAUUAGUUAAGAGCUGUGAUAAGGACCACAUGGUAAAAUCUAGAUCAAGUUUCAAGAUAAAUUGUCUUUGAGGAAAUUCUGUUUAAGCUGAAACCUGAUGGUUGAAUACACAUCAGCUAAGCACUGCUUGGAAAACUGUCUGCCUUCUCUAAUCCUCUAAUGUCCAAAUCCUCUUAACCAAAUUAUGCACUAUGUGUUCAGUAGUCAAUACAAAUGAGUUACUGGUACUCUAAGCAAUUGAAAUUGGCAUGAAAAAGAAGUAUAUUUUCCAUUCCUGGUCUAGAAGAUACCAUGCCAAAUAUAGCAUGACAUUUCUUCAUUUUUAAAUGCAAAAAAAUAAUGAUUUUAAACAUCUUACAAACAGCAAUUUGUGAAAGUCAACAACAAAUUCUUCACUCAAGCUUAACCAAAUUUUGAUAGAGUAAGUUCAGUUUUUAACAUAAUAUAUGUCACUUGGAUGGUAAAAUAGCAUCCAAUUAUAUGUUCAGUAUCUGAUGAGAGUCCAGAGGAAGGAUGCUAUAUAUUUUAAGUUGUGGGUUUCUUUAGCAAGAUUUGCCAACUGGAGUAUAUAAUGAAAUAUAUAAUGAGAUAAGCCUAAUGGAUUUAUAGAAAAAGUAGAAUUGAUGAAGAGGUCUAGGCUCAAUAGAAAAAAGAUGAAAGGUCAGAGAAUUGCUGAUAGAGUGUGCAAAAAGGGAGAUGCUCAAAAACUGAAGAGAACAGAAUGAGUGACAAACAUCACCAAAGAAAGUGGGUAAGGAAUGAGGUACUGAAAUAUAAAGCAUCAGAAAAGGGAUAGUUUUGGGGAUGGCAAGUUUUAGGGUGUGGCCAUGGGAGUAGAUGAAUGAAAGAAAUGGAGAAAAGCAAGUAACUGUGAGGCUAUGAUGUUGAUUGUAUCUUGACAUGGGUGGAAGAUGGUGAGGUUUAGUGGUGCUGUCAAAGCUUUAAGUCAUGUGUGAAUAUUUUCAAAAAUCUGAAAAGUACCCCAGUUGGGGAUCAAAUGGGAAGUAAAUCUCAGUAACAGGGUAUAUGCAAGAAUCUGACUUAAUAAUCGGCCUACAAUCCCCUAUAGAAGGAGGAACAAGGAAUUGCUUAGAAGUGAUGGAAUGCAGACAGGAUGCAGCUCUGGCUUCAUGAAAAAGAGGUGGCCAUACUUCAGGCAAGGACUUGUGAGCCUGGGGUGGACAGAUUGAGUAUGAGGUGGAGUUCGGUGGAAUAAAAUGGGAAGAAAUAGCUAGGGGCUCAAAAGAACAAAGAUUUGGAAACCCAAGGCCUUGUUUGAGAAUAAUAGAAAUGGAAAAGGAACUGCACAGGCUCAGGCUAAUGAAAAAGGUGAUGAAAGCCAGGGAUAAAGGUCUUGAUGGUAGUUGAUUUUGAAACUCUUUCUAGAGCUUGAAUGUUAAAAUGUUUCCCUAUUGAUGCAGACAGGAGUACUCAGCUCUAUAAGCCAGACAAUAAUCUCUGCCCUGUGGCUGACUUUCUGCCUUAAAAUAUGAGGCCUCUUAGGAGGGAAGUAGGCAUAGCCAGGUAAGAGUCAUGGUGACACAUUUAGAGUUCUUCUGUUUUCAUACAAACAGAUUUGCACACAAAGGAGUGCCAUCUUAUAUAGGGACUGCCAGGUGGAAUCAUCUUGGGCAUUAACUGGAUCAGUUGACAUUAAUAGGUGUUAGUCAGCUUUCCAAAGCUUUGACCAAAUAACUGAGAUAAUAUUCAUUAAUAAGGAAAGGUUCAUUUGGUUCACAGUUUCAGAUGGUUGCAUGGCCCCAUGGCCUUUGGGCCUGAGGUGAGGCAGUCCAUCAUGGUGGGAAUAUGCAGCACUCCUGCACGUUUGCCAGAGAACCAAGAGAGACAAGAAAGGUCUGGGAUCUCAAUAUCCCCUCCAAGGGCAUUGCUCCAAUGACCUAACUUCCCUCCAAUAGGCCCCACCUCCUAAAGGGUCCACCAUCUCCCUGAAACACUAAAGGCUAAUAACCAAUUCUUUAAGACAUAGGAUUUUGGUGGACAUUUAUCCAAGUGAUAGCCAUGGGUUUAGUUGUGUUAGGAUUCAGGGUUGAUCCCAUUCUUAACAUGGAUCUGAGGUGAAUUCUAAAUUGACCAGAAGUGGUAAAUGGAGAGUUGGAAGAAUGUAGAAAGAAAAGAUAAAUUGUCUUGCAGUUUGUCCUGUACACAGACAACUCAAAUUCUAUAUAACCAUGAGAAGCCACAAUACUGAAAUCAGAUCCCUAUCACUUUUGGCAAGAAUUUAUGAAAUUUUUCAAAAUCUAGCUCCCUUGAACUGCAUGACCAGAAAAAAUUGAGGCAACAUGUCAAAGAGUGGCACAGAUCAAUAUAAUUGUGGCUAUGAACACAUUGACAAUCUAAGUCAUUUAGGUGCAAGUCCUUAAAAUAUAAUUGCAAAACAGUGUAUGAAUUUUAGAGACAAUCUAUUUUACAUACUGAAGAAGAACAAGUUUAUUCUCUCCCUAGAGAGAGAAGUUUGAAGCAGACACAAUUUACCUCUUUCACCUAUGUGCUUUGGACAAAAAUCUGCAGAGACUGAUGAUGAAUGCUGAGGAUGGGAGCCUUGUUCUAACCAGAUGAGGACACAUGCAUCUUAAAUGUUUCCCACAGGUACAGUGGCAGGCCCUAAAGACAGGUAUCCUGGAUAUAUCCUCAGUGUCCAGAGUAUCUUUCAGAGCAUGGAAUCUUUCAGAGUACAACAAACCAAACAAACACCAUCACCAUGUUCAAGAAAAGAAAAGAAGGGUAACUUGCAAAAUGCUUAGAUCACAAGUGACCUUUUAAACCCAUUAAAAGAUGAAUGUGCUAUAUAAAGACUCAGUAAUAACAAUGCAAACAGCAACCAAAUGUUAUCUUCCAGAGGACAAUGGCAUCAUGACAUUAAUAAUAUACUAACAGGCUGGGAACAUAGGUCAGCUUUUCUUUGUGUGGAGUGAUUUUCUGUUGGCUUUUAAUGAUGUGAGAUAAGCUCAUAAUUUUGUUUCUCAAUGGCAGAUUUUGCUCCCAAAUUAGUUAUGUAACUUGAUGCUCUAUUCAGGUACCAGUAUUUUUCAACUAAUACUUUACGCAAAAGGAAAGUGAAAUGAACUGUACACUUCCAAGUUCGUUAUAUUUUCCCAUUUGGGGAUAUACUUCUAUUUCUCAGAACAUAUCUCAGUUGUUAAACAGCACAUGCCUAAUCACAUUAAUUAAGGUAUGUAUUUUAUUAUAUAUUUAUAAUUGUGGAUUUCACUUCAUUUACAGUAGCUAUGUGUUAGUACUGAAUUUAUUUCCAAAUGGUUUCUAAUCAGUCAAAUGACUCCCUUAAAAAUUCCAACUCAUAACACAAAUAUUGUAACAUUCUAAAUUUCCUAGACUCAGAGUAUUUAGAUAAAGAAUCAUCUUUGACCAAGUCUGUUGGAGGCCAUAUAUAUAAUAUAUAAUUAAAUAUAAAUAUAUAUUUGUUCUAAUCAUUAAGGCAGAGAGGACACUCUUUCAGGAACUCCUGGGUGGAAUACCCCCACCCCCACCCCCACCAUAAGAAUGCCUGGAUCAUGCUGUCCUAACUCACAGCCUUAGGAUCAAAGAGCCUCCUGGAGAUGGGCCUCGCCUGCCAAAGGCCAAAUAACCUGUUUAUUGUGGCAUCCCUGCCACCCUGAGAAGCAAGCACCAAGAAAAGACUCCUCCCACAUGGAAACCUUAUACAUACUGAUCCCCUUUGAUCUGUACCACUAUAAAUAAAGCAGGCAUAGGCUUCUUCUUUGUUAGAAGCUAGACCCCUCUAGUAGGCUCAACUGGCCAUGCCCCUACUUUAAAUAUAUUCUUGUCUGUUUUUCUUUAAUUUCUUGAUAUAUUAGUUUAAAAUCUUAUUUCACAGCCAGCACAUCACUACUAGGGGUACCCACCCUCUCGCCCACACAGGACAUGAGCGAGACAAGUCUACACAAUUUGCAAAUAGAAGGAAGCCUAAUAGAGGCUUCCUUCAACCAUCUGGGUUUAAGAUAUCAAAAGAAAAUUGUAGAGGGCUGGGAUUGUGGCUCAGGGGUAGAGCGCUCACCUAGCAUGAUUAAGGCCCUGGGUUUGAUCCUCAGCACAACAUAAAAUAAAUAAAUAAAAUAAAGGUAAUGUGUCCUACUACAACUAAAAAACUUGAAGGAGGAGGAGGAGGAGGAGAAGGAAGGAAGGAAGGAAGGAAGGAAGGAAGGAAGGAAGGAGGAAGGAACUGUAGAAGUUGUAAAGGAAGAACACCAUUGCUGGCUCGUACAAAAUUUUCCUACAGUCCCAUAUUAAUCUUUGUGGAGUUCCACUAGGGAAUAUUAAGGGCCAAAUUGAAAAAAGCAGAAUCUGCAACCAAACCCAAAGGGUGGGAUAUAAGCUAAAGGAGAUAUAAAGUCUAGAAAGGAUUAGCUACUGAGCACCAGGAAUGUGAUAAUGAGCAAAGUUCAUUUGAAUCCAGCAAGUUCAUGUGCUACAAGCAGAGUGGAAGGCACCUUGGCUUUUCAUUUUCCUUUAAUGUAGACUCUUACUGUAUUGCAUGGUAUGUUUGCAUGAUAUGUUGGCCUAUUUUAAAAAUUAGACACCAAAGAAUUUGGGUAUUAUUCUGUUAAAAUUGGAGUGCACACAGAAAAGAGUGUUUGAGCAGGAGAAAUAAGAUGAAAAUUUCAGGACUCUUUAUCUGGCAAUAAGGCAUAGGCUCAACUUCAGGGCAACUUUGAACAGUUAAAGGCAAUAUUCAAGAGAGAAGCAGUGAAAGCCUGACUUGAAUAAAUUGAAUAAAUAAGUAUAGAAAUGGAAAAAUAAAUUGAUCUUGGAAGAAGAAUUGGAAUAAAUUAGCAGCUUGUUAGAAAUAAGCGAUUUCUGAUUAGUUAAUUAACUAUUUGGUAAUUCUUAAAGACACAUUCAAUAAUUAUGAAAUAUAUGUCGAACACUUUUUAACCUAACUGCUGAAUUUCCUACCUGGGGCCCAAAGUCAAUUUAAUGAUAUUGAACUCAUCAGGAGGUGAGUACGCCUCAUGCACAAGCAUCAAUCAAACACUAAAUAUGUAGAGAUUUACAGAGAAUAAUAAUCAACAAAAUGUGCAUUAUUAGCUCAGCCAAGUAUGUAUAUAGUGUUUCUUCUUUCCUCUGCUGCUAUGUAUUUGGUUUGUGAUUCUUUGUGACAUCUAUUGGAAUGCCUGGAGACAAGACCCAGCUUUCCCUUCAGAUUGUCCAACAUUCUUGAUACCUGACUCUGGUAUACAGGUUCUGGUCUUCAGAGCUGUGCAGUUUCUCAUUGAUCUCAGCAGUAGCUGUUCAAACUUAACACAUCACACCUUUGCUGAUUUCUGAUGUGAGCAAAUGGAUCUUAAUUCCUUUUUCUCACCAUUGCUGCCUUCCCCCUACCCUACCACUCUCCAUGACUUUCUAAAGCAUAGACUCACUUCCAUUACCAUAUUUUUUAGAGAGAGA
rnacentral:lncRNA from 1 species